AUUGAACGCUGGCGGCAGGCCUAACACAUGCAAGUCGAGCGAGCGGCGGACGGGUGAGUAAUGUAUGGGGACCUGCCCGAUAGAGGGGGAUAACUACUGGAAACGGUGGCUAAUACCGCAUACUAUCGGAUGAACCCAUAGGGGAGUAGCUAGUUGGUGGGGUAAAGGCUCAACUAGGCGACGAGCUCUAGCUGGUCUGAGGGGGUGAUCAGCCACACUGGGACUGAGACACGGCCCAGACGCCUACGGGAGGCAGCAGUGGGGAAUAUUGCACAAUGGGCGCAAGCCUGAUGGAGCCAUGCCGCGUGUGUGAAGAAGGCUUUAGGGUUGUAAAGUUCUUUUAGUGGGGAGGCGUUACCCGCAGAGGAAGCCCCGGCUAACUCCGUGCCAGCAGCCGCGGUAAUAC
rnacentral:rRNA from 1 species